rnacentral:rRNA from 1 species
CAGCAGCUGCGGGAAUACGAAGGGUGCAAGCGUUACUCGGAAUUACUGGGCGUAAAGCGUGCGUAGGUGGUGGUUUAAGUCCGUUGUGAAAGCCCUGGGCUCAACCUGGGAAUUGCAGUGGAUACUGGGUCACUAGAGUGUGGUAGAGGAUAGUGGAAUUUCCGGUGUAGCAGUGAAAUGCGUAGAGAUCGGAAGGAACAUCUGUGGCGAAGGCGACUAUCUGGGCCAACACUGACACUGAGGCACGAAAGCGUGGGGAGCAAACAGGAUUAGAUACCCCGGUAGUCCCUGUCUCUUAUAA